rnacentral:rRNA from 1 species
AUUACCCAAUCCCGACACGGGGAGGUAGUGACAAGAAAUAACGAUACGGGGCUCUCGUAGUCUCGUAAUUGGAAUGAGUACAAUUUAAAUCCUUUAACGAGGAUCAAUUGGAGGGCAAGUCUGGUGCCAGCAGCCGCGGUAAUUCCAGCUCCAAUAGCGUAUAUUAAAGUUGUUGCAGUUAAAAAGCUCGUAGUUGGAUUUCGGGACGGGCCAGUCGGUCCGCUGAAAGGUGAGUUACUGACUGGUCUGUUCUUCUUCGCAGAGACUGSSUAUGCUCUUAAUUGAGUGUGCGUAGAAUUUGCGACGUUUACUUUGAAAAAAUUAGAGUGUUCAAAGCAGGCGUGASSCUUGAAUACAUGAGCAUGGAAUAAUGGAAUAGGACUUUGGUUCUAUUUUGUUGGUUUCUGGGACCGAAGUAAUGAUUAAGAGGGACAGUUGGGGGCAUUCGUAUUUCGUUGUCAGAGGUGAAAUUCUUGGAUUUACGAAAGACGAACAACUGCGAAAGCAUUUGCCAAGAAUGUUUUCAUUAAUCAAGAACGAAAGUUAGAGGCUCGAAGACGAUCAGAUACCGUCCUAGUUCUAACCAUAAACGAUGUCGACUAGGGAUCAGCGAGCGUUAUUUAAUGACCUCGUUGGCACCUUAUGGGAAACC